rnacentral:lncRNA from 1 species
UCGGGUCGGCCCUGGUGACACUGAUUAUUAGGAUUUAAAAAUUAUUUUUAAUUCGUGGAAUUAUUGACUAGGAUAAUUUAUUUUUUAAUAGUUUUUUAUAUAAUUAAUAAUUUAAUAUAGUUAUUUAAUAAAUUUAUUAAUUAAAAUUAUGAAAAACAAUAAUUUAAUAUAUUGUUAUUUAAUGAAUUUAUUAAUUAAUUUUUUUUGAAAAAAC